rnacentral:rRNA from 1 species
UACGUAGGGGGCAAGCGUUGUCCGGAUUUAUUGGGCGUAAAGCGCGUGUAGGCGGCCAGGUAGGUCUGCUGUGAAAACUCGAGGCUCAACCUCGAGACGUCGAUGGAAACCAUCUGGCUAGAGUCCGGAAGAGGAGACUGGAAUUUACGGUGUAGCGGUGAAAUGCGUAGAUAUCGUAAGGAAGACCAGUGGCGAAGGCGGGGUCUCUGGACAGUUCCUGACGCUGAGGCACGAAGGUCAGGGGAGCAAACGGG